GACGAACGCUGGCGGCGUGCUUAACACAUGCAAGUCGAACGAAGAGCGAUGGAAGCUUGCUUCUAUCAAUCUUAGUGGCGAACGGGUGAGUAACGCGUAAUCAACCUGCCCUUCAGAGGGGGACAACAGUUGGAAACGACUGCUAAUACCGCAUACGAUCUAAUCUCGGCAUCGAGGAUAGAUGAAAGGUGGCCUCUACAUGUAAGCUAUCACUGAAGGAGGGGAUUGCGUCUGAUUAGCUAGUUGGAGGGGUAACGGCCCACCAAGGCGAUGAUCAGUAGCCGGUCUGAGAGGAUGAACGGCCACAUUGGGACUGAGACACGGCCCAGACUCCUACGGGAGGCAGCAGUGGGGAAUCUUCCGCAAUGGACGAAAGUCUGACGGAGCAACGCCGCGUGAGUGAUGACGGCCUUCGGGUUGUAAAGCUCUGUUAAUCGGGACGAAAGGCCUUCUUGCGAAUAGUGAGAAGGAUUGACGGUACCGGAAUAGAAAGCCACGGCUAGCUACGUG
rnacentral:rRNA from 1 species